rnacentral:tRNA from 1 species
AGCUCAGUCAGUAGAGCAUGAGACUAUUAUUCUCAGGGUUGUGGGUUUGUGCCCCAC